rnacentral:rRNA from 1 species
UACGGAGGGUGCAAGCGUUAUCCGGAUUCACUGGGCUUAAAGGGUGCGUAGGCGGGCAGAUAAGUCAGUGGUGAAAUCUCUGGGCUUAACCCAGAAACUGCCGUUGAUACUAUUUGUCUUGAAUAUCAUGGAGGUAAGCGGAAUAUGUCAUGUAGCGGUGAAAUGCUUAGAUAUGACAUAGAACACCGAUAGCGAAGGCAGCUUACUAAACAGGCAUUGACGCUGAGGCACGAAAGCGUGGGGAUCAAACAGG